AUUGAACGCUGGCGGCAGGCCUAACACAUGCAAGUCGAGCGCGCGGCGGACGGGUGUGUAAUGUCUGUGAAACUGCCUGUUGUGGGGGGAUAACUACUGGAAACGCUAGCUCAUACCGCAUACCCUCUGAUGUGCCCCGAUGGGAGUAGCUCGUAGGUGGGGUAAUGGCUCACCUAGGCGACGCUCCCUAGCUGGUCUGAGAGGAUGACCAGCCACACUGGAACUGAGACACGGUCCAGACGCCUACGGGAGGCAGCAGUGGGGAAUAUUGCACAAUGGGCGCAAGCCUGAUGCAGCCAUGCCGCGUGUAUGAAGAAGGCCUUCGGGUUGUAAAGUACUUUCAGCGAGGAGGCGUUACUCGCAGAAGAAGCACCGGCUAACUCCGUGCCAGCCGCCGCGGUAAUUC
rnacentral:rRNA from 1 species